GAUUAACGCUGGCGGCGUGCCUAAUACAUGCAAGUCGAACGGAGAAUUAGCAAUAGUUCUUAGUGGCGAAUGGGUGAGUAACGCGUUGGUGACCUGCCCCAAAGUGAGGGAUAACAGUUCGAAAGGACUGCUAAUACCACAUGUGGUUAGUGGAUUUAGAAACUGCUAACUAAAGGAGUAAUUCGCUUUGGGAGGGGCCUGCGUCCCAUCAGCUAGUUGGUAGGGUAAUGGCCUACCAAGGCGAUGACGGGUAGGGGACCUGAGAGGGUGGCCCCCCACAAUGGAACUGAAACACGGGUCCAUACUCCUACGGGAGGCAG
rnacentral:rRNA from 1 species